CAGUCGCCGCGGGAAUACGAAGGGGGCUAGCGUUGCUCGGAAUUACUGGGCGUAAAGGGAGCGUAGGCGGAUGUUUAAGUCAGAGGUGAAAGCCCAGGGCUCAACCUUGGAACUGCCUUUGAUACUGGACAUCUUGAGUGUGGGAGAGGUAAGCGGAACUCCGAGUGUAGAGGUGAAAUUCGUAGAUAUUCGGAAGAACACCAGUGGCGAAGGCGGCUUACUGGCCCAUUACUGACGCUGAGGCUCGAAAGCGUGGGGAGCAAACAGGAUUAGAUACCCCAGUAGUCCCUGUCUCUUAUAC
rnacentral:rRNA from 1 species